rnacentral:lncRNA from 1 species
AUGGAGAGUUUAGGCAAAGACCAUGCUUCUUUGGACUCUUCCCUGCCACCCUCUGCAGCCUGUGAGGAGUAUGCUGUGCCAGAUGUCAUCAUAACCCGUCGCUUGAGAGACCGGGAGCUGCUCAGGAAAAGAAAAGCAGAAGCCCUGGAGAAAGAUUCAGCUCACUGGGUUCUGAGAGACUAUAAGACCGAACAGCAAAGGAGAGCCAGAAGAGCCAAAAGAGGACGGGGCCGUCAGGCAGUGGUCAAGGCUGUCCUGGAGACAGAGCCAGCAGUGGACACCCAGCCUGACCCACAGGAGAAGGCUGAGCCUGUGCCUUCUGAGACAGUGCCUUCUGAGCCAGCACUGCCUGAACCAGUGUAUCAACAGCAGCCACCUAUGCUGACCAUCCAGAACAUGGUUGGUGGGAUGCAAGCAGUGGCAACGGAAGGGGAGCUGGCAGACGGGAGCUUGGACCCUGCUGGUGAGGAGGAUGUGCUGAAACCAGCAGAAGCAGAUAUACUGGAAGAGUUGAAUACUCCUCUGGGAAAGGACCACCAGGACAACGAAUUUAACGCACAUAUUCUGUAUUAACUUUCUGAUUACUUGGGGAUAUUUUUUAUUUUGACUCUUGCCUCACCAACUUGAUAAGUAUGGCAAGUGAUUUUGAGCAGCUGCUUUCUUGGGAAUCAUAAAGCCCAUACUCUCCUUGUCACUCUGCUUUCUGUGCUUCUUCCAGGCUAAGAAGGCAGCCUCUAGGGAGCUGCCUGUGGCUUAUGAGCCCCCCGCUCUCUCUGCAAACAGGCUGUUUUACUUGGGCCCAUGGAAGGCUUCACGCUGCUCUGCUAUGCUACAGUUCAGUCCUACAGCCCAGCAUUCAUCUGUGUUCCUGAAAGUCAUUUCUUAUUUGUGUGAGUGGCAUUGCAGAGCUAGCACCCACUGUGAUUUUCAGCCAACUGGAGAAGCCCAGCUUGGGCUUUUUACUGCACCCUAUAAACCCCACCACCCUUUGCACCAUUAUUUUUAGUCUGAAAGUUUUCCUCAUAGCCUGUUUUCCUCUGCAAUAAACAUCUUGCUUUCCUAAAGCUGGAAAUAUUU